UUUCCUGGUUUCAGGAUAGCAACCCCAACUCCCAAAAGAAGUACUUCCAGGGCAAGGGGAGGGACCUCAGGUUGGUGGCAAAGGUCCCAUUUUAAGGGUGGGACUUCCUGUCCCAAGAUGGCAACCAAGGGUGGGGCUACCCUUGUAGCCCUCAACAGUUCACCAAAACUCAUUAAGUGGCCCUCCAGUUGAAAUAACUGCCCACACCUGAUCUACAUUCAUUUCCUUAGCUUACUAAUGAAAAUAUCACAGGAGACAGCAUUCAAAGCCUUGCUAAUGUCAAUGUAUAUCACAUCCACUGCACUCCCAACAUCCACAAAGCCCAUGACCUAGUCACAGAAAGAAGUUAAUUUUAUACUUGGAUUUGCACAAAUGAUUAAAGGCCAGUUGUGAACUAAGCAUGAGAGGGAGAACAGCUUCCACAAGGCUUGUACCUCUGUUCCUGUGGGUAAGGAAUUUGCAGGUCCUUGGCUUUCUUUUUCCAAUUAGCCAGCCUGUUCAGUUGACCUAGUGCACUGGGGGAAGUAAUCUGAGCCUGGGCUAGGUCUGGUGUAGAUUACUUUCCUUUAAUCAAGGGGGCAACCUGGUGGAUAUAACUUGUGACUGCUCCUGUAGAAACACUUCUUUAUACUGCCUUUGCUCAGGUCCUAUGGCAGAAGCCACAGUAAGGUCAAGCUUUCUUCUUGGUAUAGCAGCUAGGUAAGGUUGUGCUAUGUGCAACAGCCAAAGGUUUAUCUACUUGAGAAAUAUACCAGAGUUUCUACAUCUAAGUAAAAUCCUCUGAACCCAUUAAUAAGGUUUUGAAACAAUUAUUUGGUGUACAGUAUAUGUCCCAUUACUAGAAUUUUAGGCUCUGUUUAUAAACUAAAUCAACUGCCUUGGGGAAUUUUUAAGCUAGAGAAUUAUUCUAUCUGCACUAUUUUAUGUAUAAUGUAUUCUUUCCCCCUUUUCUCUCAGGGCCACCUUCUGUGAGGUCGGUGUGAGACACCCUCAGUUUUGUCAGGUUUUGGACUUUGGGAGUGCAAGGCCUGCAGCACUUAUUAAAAUAAGGCACUAAGGCUGAGCUUAAAAUGCCAUGUUCUUCUUGGUUUUGGGUGAAUUGCACUGUUAGGUUCUAUAGACAAUCUGCAUUUAUCAAAUGUUCUCUCUCACCAAAUUGUCUUUUUAGAUUAAUGACCAAAUAAUUCCUUUUAUGAUGAUUCAGUGGUUCCCCUCUGUUACUACUCUUCAUUUCUAUAAAUUUCUCUUUCUAUUAUGUGCAUACUGCCCUUUGAGAUUACUGCUAGUGAAAUAGAAAGCUCCCAAAUGUUUUACAUGGUGGAGAAGGAUGGAAGUUGGGAAAACUUGAUCUUAAAAAAAAAAAAAAAAAAGGAUUAAGGUAUGUUCAUGUAGGAACUGCAUUAAAAUCUAAAAAAUAACCUUCUUCCAGAAAGUUCUAAUGUGAUAAGUUUUUAGCUUAUUUUCAGCCUGAAUCUUCUCCAAAUUGUUAGUUUCAGAACUCCCACUGAUUUAAUUGAGAGCAGGAUCAGGCUCUCUACCUAUCCAUCACAUUUAUCUGGAAGAUUGUUCUCUUGUCUAAAGCAGUUCUGCAAUAUUAUGGCUUGUGAGUUGUAAAACAGACUACCUUCCCUCCUUAUGUUGAAUUUUUAGGAACAGCUAGACCUUUAUAUACUCUAAGACGGUCUAUUCUCCCAUUGAUAUGCAUGCUUAACUGCCAUUAAUGUUAAUGAGAGGAAUUCAUAGUCAUCAACAGGAGAAUAGACCCGCCCCCAAAAGUACAAUAGGAUCAUCAGAUUAGAGCACUGAAAGAGUAUGGUAUUUGGAACACAAGCAAAUGUGUCUGAACAGAGGUAAAAUCCAACUAUCAGGAGAUACUUAAAUUUGUGACCUGAAACUAUUUAAUAAUUUUCUCUCCUCUUGUUUCUUUUUCCCCUCCAUCUCCUGAAAUAUUGCCAUAAGAAUUUACUGUGGUUUCUAUGCUGUUUAAUUUGUUACCAGGUUUUGUAAAUGGACUUUAGCUGGAUGUCAUUUUUAGGGGAGGUGCGUUGUUAAUAUUUUUUUGCAGGGAAGAUCUACAGAAAUGAGAACCUGAUAAAAUGAUGUCAUCAAUGCACUUAAGAUUUAGAAAAUUUGUAAAUAGUCAUUUGUUAUAUGGUUUCCAUGGGUCAAAUUCUGCUGUACAAUCAAAUCUUAUUUACAACCAUGGGUAGCCAUACACAGAAAGAACAAUUUUUUGUUGCUAUACAAAGUGGGGCAGGAUUUGUGAGGUUAUACCCGAUGGACCUGCUCUGUGGGGUGGGUCUGGGGUUUUAAAGACAGCAUAUUUAAGGGAUAUAGGAAAGGCAGAGAUUUAUGUAUUGGAUGGUGUAUAUAGUCAUUUGCCAUUGUUGUCACCUAAAUGGCAAGAAUUACAGCAGCCUUGAAGAGCCACUGCUACCUUUUGGGACUAGGAAUACUUCCCUUCCACAGGUCCUGCAUACAGUUCCUGGACCAAAAGCUAGCUACCUAUGUUUUUCCUAUAUUAAAGUGUGGAGCAGCUCCAUUGACUUCAGUGAACUAAUUUUGUUUUUAAAAUGGUGUGAUGGAGUACAUAGCAUGAUCCCACGUUAUUAGGGUUAGAUUGAAUUAGGCUGGAUUCUCUCCAGGGAUUAUGUUGGUUCUGUUGGUACAACUCAGGCAAAGGAGCAGAUGUAUAGCACAAAAUUACUGUACAAGGCAGUAGCCCUCAAACCUGACACAUGCUAGGUCUUCAAGUGAAAGCAAUGUAGCUGUGUUUCCAGAGUGACCGUGCUAAUUAGCUCCCCAUCCCAUCCAGGUCUAUGCAAGUGUAACUUCAUUGUUUCCGGUUGGGGAAGUAGCCGCCAUGGAGUAGAAUGGUGUGUUUGAGGGCCACUGCCUAGCAUAGUAAGUUUGAAACAUAGAUAUAGACUGAGGGUAAAUAUCUUAGGGAGUAAAUCUGCCAGGUGUUGAGAGGCUUAUCAGUAGGAGCAAGCCAUGCCAGCUAUCUAAUUCACUCCAUCUCCUGUGAAGUAUCUACUGGUGGGAUUCUGUGGAGACCUAGCCAUCAAACUGGUGAGCAGUGGCAGAACCACAACAGACAGGAAGGAAGUAGCAGUGCUGUCCAUCAUCCUUCUUCCCUAGUGGAUAUGUGUGGAAAUUGCAAUCAAAUUUUCCCUGUAUCCAGUAAAUCUAGGAAUGUGCUUUCCCCAAAUCCUCCAAUCAUCCACUGUAUCCCUAGAGUUUAAAAUGUGUUGACUUGUAACUUUUGAUUGAUUUCCAAAGUAUGAACUUGAGUGAAUCUGCACAGUGGGAAGCAUUACCGUAGCACUGACAUAUGUGGACAUUUCUAAGCCAUGGUACUGGGCCAGGAGCUUGGAGCUGAAGCUUUGAAGGAGCUGAGCUUUGAACAAGUUUUGAUAUAGUAAAUUUUGCAACUGUUCAUUUUUAAAAAAUUUCUAAGCAGUUUGAGUGUUUUAGGAAAUAUUAAGAAACACAAAAAAGGAAUGAUCUUUUAUUACUAUACAGCUAGUUUGCUGUCCUUUUCCAUUAAACCACAAGGUUCAUUAAUGCUUGGUACUGUUUCCUUUAUUACAACUCUUUUUAAUGUAAUUUUCAUGAUAAAGCGCAAUUAGUGAAAUCUUUUAUUCAAUUUUCCCUUUCUUUGUUUUUUUUUUUAAGGAGAGAUCUCUCCUUACACAGUAUGUAUACUUUCUUACAGAGCUUUCUUACCUAUUUUUAUAAAAGGUGGUCUUACAAUUUAAAGCUAAAUGCUCUACGAGCAGAACAAUGUCUCUGUUAACAAUCUGAAGUGCUAUACUACUAAUCAAGGGCCUGAACCUGCUGUCCCUAUUCAGGCACUGACUCUACCACGUUUUCUCCUUUUGAGCAAUACCUUAUUCUUUGAGUUGUUCAAUCAAUUUCAGCCAUGUUAUUUGCAGAGUAAGGUACUAUUAACAUGAGAAACAGUGGCAGAACAGAGCCCUCCAUGAGCAAUCUUAUUGACGUCAAUGGGGUAUCUCCCAGGAGUAAAGGCUGCUGGAUCUGCCCAGAAUUAUAGUUAUAGAUUAUAGUUCCCUUGAUUUUAAAUGAUUUCAAACUUGUUUGCUGGUGACUAUAAACUAAUAACUGAUCUUAUUGAAUACAUAUAUUGAAUUGUGCUGGUAUCAGCAAAGUUAUUAAAAUGUAUUUCACAUUUUAAUUCAUUCAUUAAAAGAUAUAAAAAUAUGGGCUUGUGAAGCACUAUGUUAUAUGGAUAUAGCACACAUCCACCAUUUUUUAUGAGUGUAUUAAAUAUACAGUAUGUAGCAUUUUAUUUACAUACUUUUAUACUGCCUGUAUACCACCGAAGCACUCGGUGCCUUGUUUCUUUUGUAUAAAACUGAUGUAGAGAAACUGAUGUUCUAGUGUAAACAGUGUCACUGUAAUUUGAUAAUAUCUUAACCAGGUUAUUCCUAGUACAGGAGGUUUUAAACAGCGGUUCAGCUUAACAUAAUGCAUUUUCUCUGAGAGUUAAAAGUUGUCCUUCUUUAUUCAUCUUCCCUCCCAAAAAAGCCUUUUCAUGUGAUUGUUUGUACUUUACAGUUCUUGUGUCUGGUGUUAGUCACAUAGUGUUAACCAAAGAACCACGCCUUUUUUCUAAUUUAUUCAGAUAACAUUUGGACUUGCUACCAUGUCAUGACUGAAGUGAUAGUAUGGAUCUUGCUGAACAAAUAUAAAAUCACUAUCUGUAAAUGUGAUUCACUGCUGGGAAUGAAUGAUACCUUUUUCUGACGGGUUGCAUAUUAUUUUCCGUAGCAAAAUUUUGUGUGCGUGCACAAGUGUGUGUAUCAGUCAGAUCUGCUCACAACACUAACAAAAGCAUAAAUAGUGCAAUCAUUUUAACCUUGUUUUAUCUUUAAUCUUAGUUUUGUGCAAUUUCAGGUAGCCCAGAAGAUUCUCACACAUUCAUUUCAGGAGUCCAGAUAACUUAUUGUAUCUAUAGACCCUAUAACACCUUAAAAGAAACUGUUUCACAUUAAGUGUACUUUAUUGUUAUCAAUCGUAUCAGUAAUAUAACCAAAAUUGAUACUGCUUUGUUUCUAUUUUAAAUUAUUUUCAUUAGAUGGUCAGUCUGUAAAGUUACAGGAAGUUUGUCAUUUGUUUUUAUUACAAAUGUUUUCACACCCUUACCAAAAAUUUAAGACGAGUAAUUUAAAGGCAACAUACAAUAAAUACUAUGCAAGACUGAUUCAGCAUGUGAGAGAGGAUGUUAAAUAUUAGACUGUAAAACUGACAAAAAUUAAAAUCAGAAUAUUAUCAUCAAAUAAGCAUUAACCUUUCAAUGUAUAAUUCCAUGCAUUAAUGAGAGGCUUUUUUAAAUGGUUUUUUUUGAAGGAGAUAUCAGUGUCAAAGUAGAGGGUCUUUUCUUUCCUGAAAACAGUUAAUCAUUUUUGUUGAUAUUCAAACUGGAAAUGUAGACUUCAACUGUACCCUUUGAUUUUCAGCUAGAAACAGGGACCUUUUAAGUGAUGCCUGCAGCUGACUUUACCCCUUGUCAUCAAUGUUCUCUCUCAUGUGAUAUUUUAGGUGGAAUAAGCAGAAAUUAAUAUUUUCUAUAAAACAGUGUUCUGUUUUCUUGAUGGUAACAUCUAAAGAAAGAAUAAUGAUUCCAUUUUCAACAGCUUACAUGAUUUAGUAUAUACUUGGGGCUUUGUGUGAAACAGUCAUUAUUGUCUAGAUAAGGACUGGUUUUUGUCACGGCCUUUCAGCUGUACAUAGACAAAAUGGAGUUCUCGUGAUGAAUGUGCAGAUCUCCAUAUUGAGGGUCCAAUUGUGGGGUGUUCUCUACAUUUUAUGUUAGACAGGGAUUUAUAAUUAAAUGUCACACUGUAUUGCAGCAUCUCAAAUUGUGUGUUGUCAGAUAUUUGUUGCUUUGUUUUCUUUCCCCUAUCAUUAGCUAAAAAUUACUAUGAAAUUUGGUAGUAGCAAACAUUAACCCUGAGGAACUGCAGUGUACCAAAAAUACUGUUAUCUUUCUAUAAAAAGCAAAAGGUUGUUUAACACAUCUUGCUUUAAAAGAACAAUUUCCAAGUUUGAGAAAAUAUGACUACAAAUUUUCAUCAUGUACUUGUAACUACAACAUACACACUAAUUUAUGGGUGGUGGUGGGGGGUGUUCUUAUUGAUCAUUCUAACCCAUUUCUGCAAAAGUCAGGAUUUGCAUGGAUUUCCUUUGUUAAUUAAAAGUUAAGCUUCUACCCAAGGAAUCCAGUACUUUAUAUUCGAACUUCAGUUACAGAAAAAGAUUUGGAAGAGAGGAAAAUCAUUUGCAGUAACUAAUUGUUACUUUUACCUUGGAAUUCACUAGGUCCAGUGCAAAUAUAAUGAACUAUUGUUUAGAAUAGGGUGCUCAACUUCUGGCCCAGGGGCCAGAUUCUGCUCAUGGAGCCCUGUCAUCCAGGUUGUGUAGCUCCCCACAGGUUUGGAAACUUGGUGGUGGUGAAGAAGUAGCGGCAUUAAUUGCUAUUCUGCAAUUGCCAAAUUUCUGAACUUUCGGGAACCCUGUGGGCAAAAUAAUGUGGCCCUGUGUGCUAGAUUGGGCUGGCGCAUGGGGUCACCCUGGCACAUAACUAGAUCCAAGUGUAUGGGGUCUUUCCAGCACAUUGGAUCUCACCUGUGGGCCAACCCCGCAUGCUGACUGCAGACUCCAGCCUGUGGAGUGAUGCUAUGCCACUCAUCUGGCCCACAGGGCUGGAAGUUUGGGUGUUACUGGUUAAGCAGAUGGUGGGGGCAGGAUGACAGUCUGAAUUGCAGGGAAAGAAUGAGCUUUUCACUUACAAAGCUGGAGACAACAUAUUUUCUUCUGGUUGGUGCCUUUCCAAAUUUGCUCAGUUCUCUUUGCUUCUCUUGCAGUCUCUGCCUGUACCUCAAAUUUUUAAGUAAGGAAUUUAUGAUGUGACCAUUAACAUAGCGUACCCUCUAAUGCAAAUAAAAGGAUGUUUUCUGUGA